rnacentral:rRNA from 1 species
UGGGGAAUAUUGGACAAUGGGCGAAAGCCUGAUCCAGCAAUACCGCGUGUGUGAAGAAGGCCUUCGGGUUGUAAAGCACUUUAAGUUGGGAAGAAAAAACUUUACCUAAUACGUGAAGUCUUGACGGUACCGACAGAAUAAGCACCGGCUAACUCUGUGCCAGCAGCCGCGGUAAUACAGAGGGUGCUAGCGUUAAUCGGAUUUACUGGGCGUAAAGCGUGCGUGGGUGGUUUGAUAAGUCGGUUGUGAAAGCCCCGGGCUCAACCUGGGAAUUGCGGCCGAUACUGUCAGACUCGAAAACGGUAGAGGGAGGUGGAACUCCAGGUGUAGCGGUGAAAUGCGUAGAUAUCUGGAAGAACAUCGAUGGCGAAGGCAGCCUCCUGGGCCUGUUUUGACACUGAGGCACGAAAGCGUGGGUAGCAAACA